UACGUAGGUGGCAAGCGUUGUCCGGAUUUACUGGGCGUAAAGAGCGCGCAGGCGGUCGUUCAAGUCGCGUGUGAAAGCCCCCGGCUCAACUGGGGAGGGUCACGCGAUACUGAUCGACUCGAAGGCAGGAGAGGGUAGUGGAAUUCCCGGUGUAGUGGUGAAAUGCGUAGAUAUCGGGAGGAACACCAGUGGCGAAGGCGAGUCCCUGGACAUCUCCUGACACUGAGGCACGAAAGCUAGGGGAGCAAACAGG
rnacentral:rRNA from 1 species